UACGUAGGGUGCGAGCGUUGUCCGGAAUUACUGGGCGUAAAGAGUUCGUAGGCGGUUUGUCGCGUCGUUCGUGAAAACUUGGGGCUUAACUCCAAGCGUGCGGGCGAUACGGGCAGACUUGAGUACUACAGGGGAGACUGGAAUUCCUGGUGUAGCGGUGAAAUGCGCAGAUAUCAGGAGGAACACCGGUGGCGAAGGCGGGUCUCUGGGUAGUAACUGACGCUGAGGAACGAAAGCUAGGGGAGCAAAUGGG
rnacentral:rRNA from 1 species